rnacentral:miRNA from 1 species
ACGGGGUGUGGGAUGCGG